rnacentral:rRNA from 1 species
CCUACGGUGGGCAGCAGUGAGGAAUAUUGGUCAAUGGGCGCGAGCCUGAACCAGCCAAGUAGCGUGAAGGAUGACUGCCCUACGGGUUGUAAACUUCUUUUAUACAGGAAUAAAGUGAGGCACGUGUGCCUUUUUGUAUGUACUUUAUGAAUAAGGAUCGGCUAACUCCGUGCCAGCAGCCGCGGUAAUACGGAGGGUCCGAGCGUUAUCCGGAUUUAUUGGGUUUAAAGGGAGCGUAGACCGGUUGUGAAGUCAGCUGUGAAAGUUUGCGGCUCAACCGUAAAAUUGCAAUUUAUACUGGCAGUCUUGAGUACAGGUAAGGUAGGCGGAAUUCGUGGUGUAGCGGUGAAAUGCUUAGAUAUCACGAAGAACUACGAUUUCGAAGGCAGCUUACUAAACUGCCACUGACAUUGAUGCUCGAAAGUGUGGGUAUCGAACAGGAUUAGAUACCCGUGUAGUC